UGGGGAAUAUUGCACAAUGGACGGAAGUUUGAUGCAGCGACGCCGCGUGGAGGGUGUAGGCCUUCGGGUUGUGAACUCCUUUUUCUCGCGAAAAAGGCACAGUUCUGGCUGUGUUGAUGGUAGUGGGGGAAGAAGCGCCGGCUAACUACGUGCCAGCAGCCGCGGUAAUACGUAGGGCGCGAGCGUUGUCCGGAUGUAUUGGGCGUAAAGAGCUCGUAGGUGGUUCGUCGCGUCUGUCGUGAAAGCCAGCAGCUUAACUGUUGGUCUGCGGUCGGUACGGGUGGGCUUGAGUGCGGUAGGGGUGACUGGAUUUCCUGGUGUAGCGGUGGAAUGCGCAGAUAUCAGGAGGAACACCGAUGGCGAAGACAGGUCACUGGGCCGUUACUGACACUGAGUAGCGAAAGCGUGGGUAGCAAACAGG
rnacentral:rRNA from 1 species